GACGAACGCUGGCGGCGUGCUUAACACAUGCAAGUCGAACGGAAAGGCCCUGCUUUUGUGGGGUGCUCGAGUGGCGAACGGGUGAGUAACACGUGAGUAACCUGCCCUUGACUUUGGGAUAACUUCAGGAAACUGGGGCUAAUACCGGAUAGGAGCUCCUGCUGCAUGGUGGGGGUUGGAAAGUUUCGGCGGUUGGGGAUGGACUCGCGGCUUAUCAGCUUGUUGGUGGGGUAGUGGCUUACCAAGGCUUUGACGGGUAGCCGGCCUGAGAGGGCGACCGGCCACAUUGGGACUGAGAUACGGCCCAGACUCCUACGGGAGGCAGCAGUGGGGAAUAUUGCACAAUGGGCGGAAGCCUGAUGCAGCAACGCCGCGUGCGGGAUGACGGCCUUCGGGUUGUAAACCGCUUUCGCCUGUGACGAAGCGUGAGUGACGGUAAUGGGUAAAGAAGCACCGGCUAACUACGU
rnacentral:rRNA from 1 species